rnacentral:rRNA from 2 species
UUCCCCUAGUAACUGCGAGUGAAGCGGGAAAAGCUCAAAUUUAAAAUCUGGUGGCCUUCGGUCAUCCGAGUUGUAGUCUGGAGAAGCGUCUUCCGCGCUGGACCGUGUACAAGUCUCUUGGAACAGAGCGUCGUAGAGGGUGAGAAUCCCGUCUUUGACACGGACUGCCAGUGCUUUGUGAUGCGCUCUCAAAGAGUCGAGUUGUUUGGGAAUGCAGCUCAAAAUGGGUGGUAAAUUCCAUCUAAAGCUAAAUAUUGGCGAGAGACCGAUAGCGAACAAGUACCGUGAGGGAAAGAUGAAAAGCACUUUGGAAAGAGAGUUAAACAGUACGUGAAAUUGCUGAAAGGGAAACGCUUGAAGUCAGUCGCGUCGUUCAGAACUCAACCCGGCCUCGCGCUCGGUGCACUUUCUGUUCGACGGGCCAGCGUCAGUUUUGAUCGUCGGAGAAAGGCCCUCGGAAUGUGGCACCCUCGGGUGUGUUAUAGCCUUGGGUCGUAUACGACGGUUGGGACUGAGGAUCGCAGCACGCCUCACGGCCGGGGUUCGCCCAC